rnacentral:rRNA from 1 species
CCUACGGGUGGCAGCAGUGGGGAAUAUUGCACAAUGGGGGAAACCCUGAUGCAGCGACGCCGCGUGAGUGAAGAAGUCUCUCGGUAUGUAAAGCUCUAUCAGUAGGGAAGAAAAUGACGGUACCUGACCAUGAAGCCCCGGCUAACAACGUGCCAGAAGCCGCGGUAAUACGCAGGGGGCCAGCGUUAUCCGGAUUUACUGGGUGUAAAGGGAGCGUAGACGGGCAGACAAGUCAGUAGUGAAAGCGUAGGGCUCAACCGUGGGAUUGCUUUUGAAACUGCCGGGCUGGAGUGCAGGAGAGGUAAGCGGAAUUCGUGGUGUAGCGGUGAAAUGCGUAGAUAUUACGAAGAACACCGGUGGCGAAGGCAGCUUACUGAACUGUAACUGACGUUGAGGCUCGAAAGCGUGGGGAGCAAACAGGAUUAGAUACCCGGGUAGUC